ACAGGGAUUGCCUCAGUAACGGCGAGUGAAGCGGCAACAGCUCAAAUUUGAAAUCUGGCCCCCUCGGGGUCCGAGUUGUAAUUUGCAGAGGGAGCUUUUGGCGUCGGUCGUGGUCUAAGUUCCUUGGAACAGGACGUCACAGAGGGUGAGAAUCCCGUACGUGGCCGCCGGCCUUCGCCUUGUAAAGCCCCUUCGACGAGUCGAGUUGUUUGGGAAUGCAGCUCUAAAUGGGAGGUAAAUUUCUUCUAAAGCUAAAUACCCGCCAGAGACCGAUAGCGCACAAGUAGAGUGAUCGAAAGAUGAAAAGCACUUUGGAAAGAGAGUGAAAAAGCACGUGAAAUUGUUGAAAGGGAAGCGCUUGCGGCCAGACGUGCGCGCGGUUGAUCAUCCGGGCUCCAGCCCGGUGCACUCCUCCGCGCGCAGGCCAGCAUCAGUUCGGGCGGUCGGAUAAAGGCCUCUGUCACGUACCACCCCCCGGGGUGGCCUUAUAGGGGAGGCGCAACACGGCCAGCCUGGACUGAGGUUCCGCGCAUCUGCUAGGAUGCUGGCGUAAUGGCAGCAAGCGGCCCGUCUUGAAACACGGACCAAGGAGUCUAACAUCUAUGCGAGUGUUUGGGUGUCAAGCCCGAGCGCGCAAUGAAAGUGAACGGAGGUGGGAACCCUUACCGGUGCACCAUCGACCGAUCCUGAUGUCUUCGGAUGGAUUUGAGUAAAGCAUAGCUGUUGGGACCCGAAAGAUGGUGAACUAUGCCUGAAUAGGGUGAAGCCAGAGGAAACUCUGGUGGAGGCUCGCAGCGGUUCUGACGUGCAAAUCGAUCGUCAAAUUGGGCAUAGGGCGA
rnacentral:rRNA from 1 species